CAGUUUCCCUUUACCCAUUAAAAAACGGGAAAAAACUGGCGGCUGCGACUCCUAGCAAACACAAUAGCCAAUUCAAAGACGGAUCAUCAUCGACGGCUCCGACUUCUCUCUUUUCUCAACGACGUUCUUCCUGGACGUGAAUAUGAAGAAACCCUAAACAUUGUGACAGGAGGCCUCCUAAUUGGCCUUGAGAUGCUGUUGAAGCAGAAGCGCAGAAGAGAGAAGUUGCUGCUGGUGACUUAUCUCCCAGUUAAUCACAUGUAAGACACAAAGUAAAGGUCCGCAGAAAAAUACGAUAUCCUGAACUUCAGAAAUAGUACGAAAAGGUUCACAACUACUCAUCAGAAAUCCAGGAAAUUGGUAAAUAUGAUUAGGAGAGUAAAGUAUUUCGAGAUCCAACCAGAGAGCCACAGACCGUUUUCUAUGGUGUGGCUCUGCCGAUGGAAAUCUUGUGGUCAUUUUCCCAUGUGCUAAUGGAGACGGUAACGGAACAAUGCACAUCAACAUACUCGAUAGUUAAAGUGAAAGAAUAAAUAAGAACGAGGACAUGCUAGGCGGAUCAAAAGCACCACCAAUGGCCAAGCAAAACGCUACGUCUGGUACUCUUGCAAGUAGGGAGUUCUAUAAAGAAUAUUCUCAGCCUUCCAACGCUUUGAAAAAGACAACAGUGGAUAUAUCACAAUGGAAGCCCUGGAGCAGUCCCUGAGGGACAUUAAUGGUGGAAGAGACCUUAAUGAAAUUAUUUCUGAAGUUGAUGGAGAAAAAUAUUUUCAAAGAAGGGGAGCUUCGCCACUUCUUCCUCUUUGUGUCACAUCUAUAGAAACGUCUGUUUCGUUCCAUUUCAGGCUCCUCUGCGGCUUCUCGGUGGCAUUUCCAACUUCAUACAUUUUACACAUGGGAUGCUAACAAGUAACAACUUGCUAUCGUAAAUAAGGAUGAUAAAAGACAUAAACAUGGGGAAAAUACACUUUGUAUUAUGAGAGAAGUGCAUCAGUUUAAAAUAUUGUAAUUGUCGAGUGGGAGAACGGAGUACUGAAUUAAUUUACACACUGUAUUAGCAGCC